AAGUUCUUGAACAAGGGACAUCGAAAUUGUCUGCCCAAGCAGACUGAGUUGAUCCAGAGUCAUCUCGGCAUCCCUCAGUGACCCGUCUGACCGGGAAGCAAUAAGUUUCAAGGCAUCUCUAUCAACAUCCAGGCCUUCGCUGGUAGAAAUCCACUGCAAAGUGCUGAUAAUGUCGCACUCCUUCAGUUUGGGGAAAAAGAACUUUUGGCACCUCGACACGAUUAUAUGAGGGAGAUCAAGAUUAGGGCUGAUGAGAAUAAAAACCACACGCCUAGGUGCACGUUCGACGACCUUGGAUAUGACACUCCAUGUAUCAGGCGGCAAUGUGUUGCAGUCAUCAAUUAUAAACACCCUGUGCUGGGAUUUCACCGGCGAGAGCAUCACAUUGUCAAGGAUAUCCACAAUGCCAUCCAGAUCUAUAUUACCAACCGGUCCAAUCUCCAGCAAGCUCCUGCUCUUGCCCAGAUUGUGUGCAAUACAAGAGGCACAUGAAUCACAGGGCCUCGGGUGCUCCGGGGAAUGGCAAUUCAAAGCCUUUGCGAACACCCUGGCGCACGAGGUCUUGCCCGUGCCAUGUGGCCCAUAGAAGACAUACACCAGUCCGAUCUUCUUCUUCAGAAUGGCAUUGGACAGCGCCUGCACCACCAAGCUCUGGCCGACGACGUCUUUGAAAGUCCUUGGAGCAUACUUCUGCGUAAAGCUCCGGUGUCGGGCACGGUGCGAGCCCCGCGACUUCUGCCCAGACCGUGCCUCGGACGCGAGGUCGGAGUCCAGCUCGCUGCUCUUGGAGAAAAUCCCGAGCUCCCCGGAGAAGCUGCUGGAAAUGCCACCGACGGCGUUGCGCACGCCGUCGACAAGCAGAGGCAGAGAGUCGGAGUCUGAACUGCUCGAGGACGUCAGCCUCGCGGUGACCGGGAAAUGCGGGUGCGAGCGUGACCCGUUGACGUGGCCGCACGAGGCGGCGGAGGUGGCGGGUUCGGACCUCCGCGCCGCCGACGUCGACUUGGGGUCGGACAGGCCGCACGAGAGGCUCCGGCCGGCCAUGUCGAGGAUGGACUUGCCGCGGUGGUGGAUGCGCGACCAGUUCCACGGGAUGCCGCACACGUUGUGCGACUCGUGCGACACCUGCUGCUGCUGCUGCAUCAGCUCGACACCGCCGUCGGCUCCGCCGGUGCCGCCGAAGAGGUACCUGUUGCCGCAGACGGCCUCCUGGGAGCUGGAGUUGACGGAGACGCGGGGGGCGGCAGCGGGCUGGGCGACGCGACGGGUAGCGCUUCGCCUGAACCGGCGCCGGGGCCGGCGGCCGGGCUUGGGGUGCGGGUUCUCCGUGAGCUGGUCGAGGAGCGUCUUGAUCGCGCCGGCGCGGGAGUGGUCGGCGUCGUCCGGGUCGGCGGCGACCCGGUUGUUGGAAGCGGAGUCGUCGACGGAGCGGCGGGUGGAUGGGUCCCGCAGCGAGCGCGAGCGCUGCAGGGCCAGGAGGUCCCGCAUCAGCGCGGCCGACGCCGACGCCGAGGACCCCGUGGGGCUGCGCCUCCGCCCGGACGCGCCGUGGGCGUGGGCGUGGGCGUGGUGGUGGCGCAGGUGGAUGCAGUUGGUCAGGUGCGCGUGGCCGCGGAGGUGGUCCCCGCCACCGCCGCCGCUCGCUGGCGCCGGCAUUGCGCUGGUUCAACCUCUCCGGCUAGGCCAUCUUGGUUGGGGACCCGUGUCGGGCAAUCGUUUCGCGACAGGCCAAGGGGGGUGGAGAGGAGGCCGAGAUGGGGG
rnacentral:misc_RNA from 1 species